rnacentral:lncRNA from 1 species
AGACAUUCAUUUCCCAUCUUCUCACCUGGCAUUUUGAGAUAAUCACUGGCUACUCUUUGGACUCUGGUCCCUGAAAAGGAGCCAGUUUGCUUCCUGAACUAAACCAGUGCCCUGAGAUGGAAGCAGGAUAUUAUAUAAACCACCACCACAAACAGCAUACCAGGAAAACACAACUCAGAUCUUCCUGGCUCUUCCACUAGCUGUGAGACAUGGGGCAAGGCUCCAGAUUCAGCUGGGCCUUUAUUAACCAGCCCUGGAGUUAAAUCAUCAACCCAGAGGUCUGUCCUAGCCCUGGAGCCCAAGGAGACCCCUGAUUAUGCAGCAAGCAGGGCUGAAGUUUCCAUUUAAUUUUUGCAUCACAUCUUUAGCACUAUUGGACAUCCUAGAAACCUCAUUCACAAGAUUUCAAGUUUGAAGUGAUAGUGUUUGCUACCAGAGCCCCUUUUCUGUCAAAGAAAUUAGAAGCAGGAAGGUUGAUGCAUUCCCCCACAGAAAGAAAAGAGGUCUUUUAGAAUAAUGUGAAACUCACACUCUGCAUGGGGACAGUUGGGCUCACAUAUUUUCCCACCGAUAGACAAGAGAUUACCAGAAAAGGGGUGAGGAAUCCAGAGAGAAUGUCUGCAUAAGAAGGAGGGUGGAGAUUUCUUACUGAACUAAAGGCUUCAAGAAUUGGCAAAUACCUGCUCAAUGUUUUUCCAGACUUUUGUAUUUCUGAUGACUGGAUGACUCCACCUGGACCCGAGACUCAUGACUCACCCAGUCCUGUGGCCCCACCCAGAAGUGGACUCAGAGCAAGAGGACCAUUUUCCACACCCCAAUGAGUGCAUCCCCAACCAAUCAGCAGCACCUGUUCCCUAGCCCCCUGACCACCAAACUCUCCUUGAGAAACCGUAGCCUCCAAAUUUUCUGGGAGGCUGAUUUGAGUAAUAAUAAAACUUUGGUCUCCUAUGUAGCUGGCUCUAUGUGUAUUAAACUCUUCCUCUAUUGCAAUUCCCCUGCCUUGGUAAGUCGG